CAGUCGUUUUGCUCUUUCCUAAGCCUCCCUCUUCUUCUUUGCAUACGAACCAGAGGCCACUCCAAACCUUGGCCACCGCACGGCGCUACUUUCCCUGCGCCUCCAAACACCACUGAACCAAAGAGAAAGCAAAAUCGUUCCCUAAACAAGAUCAUCCCAAAACUCUCCCAUCUCUCGACCGCUCAUCUCUCUCGGCCACUCGCACCCUUCUUCCCCAAUCGAGAGCCUUAGGGGCUUUAACUCGUGUUGGCCACCACAGAUCGAUGGCCAUUUGGCCUCUGUCCAUCUUCUCAAACCUCCAUCAGAACAUCACCUAACCUAAAGAGCCCUAACUGAAACCUUGAACCCUUACGGUGACCGCCCUCGAUAGUUGAGUAAACCCCAAACAAACCUAAACCACAAUCCUUACUCCUUAAUCAGAUGACGAAUCCAUAUCAAAAGGUAAAUCUCACAGCCUAUUUACUAUCUCUCUUAUUUCUAUUUCAAAAUCCCUCUAAUGGAAACUAAACUCAAAAUUACAUGCAAACUUCCCGAGGGAAACCCGACGCUUCGGCCUUGGAACCUGGUGACUCAAACAGUUUAGAAAAAAUGUGAAUCAAAGCUCCCUUGAUUACAUUCAAUUGUUGUUUACAAAGAGCAUGGAGACCAAAAGACUACCCCCCUAUUUUUUCUGUGAAUUCAUCUGUUGAAAAUCGAGAGCCCCGCCAGGAAUGUCAUGGCCUCUGGUGUAUUUAUAUUUGUCGAAUAGUGGUCAUUCCACUGGUGUCUGAAUAAUGGUGAUGAUGCACAGUGGCUCGGUGGCUCGUUGGUGAUGCUUCACGUGGGAGCUGAAAAUGACAGAGUAUGGUAAUGCUUGGAACUGGGUCAGGUCAAGUUACUGGGUUGGAUUGGCUUUGUGGGCUGGGGUCUUGGGUUUCGGAU